UAGGGAAUCUUCCGCAAUGGGCGAAAGCCUGACGGAGCAACGCCGCGUAAGUGAUGAAGGUCUUCGGAUCGUAAAACUCUGUUAUUAGGGAAGAACAUAUGUGUAAGUAACUGUGCACAUCUUGACGGUACCUAAUCAGAAAGCCACGGCUAACUACGUGCCAGCAGCCGCGGUAAUACGUAGGUGGCAAGCGUUAUCCGGAAUUAUUGGGCGUAAAGCGCGCGUAGGCGGUUUUUUAAGUCUGAUGUGAAAGCCCACGGCUCAACCGUGGAGGGUCAUUGGAAACUGGAAAACUUGAGUGCAGAAGAGGAAAGUGGAAUUCCAUGUGUAGCGGUGAAAUGCGCAGAGAUAUGGAGGAACACCAGUGGCGAAGGCGACUUUCUGGUCUGUAACUGACGCUGAUGUGCGAAAGCGUGGGGAUCAAACAGGAUUAGAUACCCUGGUAGUCCACGCCGUAAACGAUGAGUGCUAAGUGUUAGGGGGUUUCCGCCCCUUAGUGCUGCAGCUAACGCAUUAAGCACUCCGCCUGGGGAGUACGACCGCAAGGUUG
rnacentral:rRNA from 1 species